rnacentral:rRNA from 1 species
UAAUUGAAGAGUUUGAUCAUGGCUCAGAUUGAACGCUGGCGGCAGGCCUAACACAUGCAAGUCGAGCGGUAACAUUUCAAAAGCUUGCUUUUGAAGAU